rnacentral:rRNA from 1 species
ACGCUCGACACCUACGGGAGCAGCAGUGGGGAAUAUUGCACAAUGGGGGAAACCCUGAUGCAGCGACGCCGCGUGGAGGAAGAAGGUCUUCGGAUUGUAAACUCCUGUUGUUGGGGAAAAAGAGGAUGGUACCCAACAAGGAAGUGACGGCUAACUACGUACCAGCAGCCGCGGUAAUCUGAGCGGGCUGGCAAGGC